CCAAUGUGGACGCCCUGGGAGGUCGCUCUCCCAGGCUCUGUCAUGUAGGUAGUGCAGAGCAGCACAGGGCACUGCCCCAUAAUGUAUAAACCCUCUCCGGGAUAUUGUAGACAAAGCAAGUCCAUACUUGUAGGAAUGCAUAUUUUUGCAGCUUCUCAGUGUCCUGUGGACCAUGACUGAGGAGACAAACCAUGCAGGAAACAUCU